rnacentral:rRNA from 1 species
UACGAAGGGGGCUAGCGUUGCUCGGAAUCACUGGGCGUAAAGCGCACGUAGGCGGAUUGCUAAGUCAGGGGUGAAAUCCUGGAGCUCAACUCCAGAACUGCCUUUGAUACUGGCGACCUUGAGUCCGGGAGAGGUGAGUGGAACUGCGAGUGUAGAGGUGAAAUUCGUAGAUAUUCGCAAGAACACCCGUGGCGAAGGCGGUGUGCUGGGUUGCAACUGACGCUGAGAUGCGAAAGUGUGGGUGAGCAAAC